GCCCGUCCCCCGCGCGUCUCCUCAGCUUCACGGCCCGUCCCCCGCGCGUCUCCUCAGCUUCGGGCCGUCCCCGGCGCGUUUCCUCAGCUUUGGCCUGUCCCCUGCACGUUGCCCCAGCUUUGCCUUCUCCUUCAGUGACGUGAGCUCCAACCUGGGUGUGAGGGACCGACCUGGGCCCUGGGAUGUUCACACCGGACCCCGUUGCUCUGGGGCUGGCUCCAGUGGAAGCUUCGUUCACUGUUCGUGCUGCUGUUUCUGGAGCUCUGAAAAUCUGUGGGAACUGAAAGGCAGUGACCAGCCUGGUGGCACGAAGUGUCUGAGAACAAAUCCCAGGCACUGGGACGUGUAACCUGAUUGUUAAACAUCAAUAAAGGCUCCUGGAGGACCGAGUAGCCGUGUCUCACCCCUUCUGUGUUUUGAAUAAUAAAAGCGUAAAAUCUGGAGGAAACCUGGAGGUCACAGAGAGGUGGUGUCUGCUGGGUCAGUGCCAGAGCGGCCUCCUGGGAAGCCUGGGGAGGCACAGGCCGUGCUGUGGGAGGCAAGGCCAGGGCCAGAGCCUCGGGUUUGCUGUCACCUCCCACCACCACAGGGGUGUCGAAUAAACGGGUGCAAGCCCGUGUGGACACUGCAGGACUAUCUGAGGCUCCCCCGGAGAGACUUGUGGGGCAGGAGCACCUGGCCGCGGUCGACUCUGCACACCCUGAAGUUACAUCGUUUUGGCAACUUCCUUAAGAAAAGGCAUAUGACAUUAUGAACACAGUGUUAGGCCUAAAACUGAACAUACUUACAGUGAAAGACCCAGCACACCAUGAGUGUAGGAAGCUCACACAGGCAGCAUCACAGACAGAAUUGGAAGCUCACACAGAAAGCAUCACACACAGAAUCGGAGGCCCACACAGGAAGCAUCACAGACAGAAUCACACCGCACGUUUUUUACCCUAAAGUUCCUGACCUCACAGCCUCGGAUUACUUUUACAAAAUGACAAUUUGGUAACGUUUUCUAUGGGAGAAUGGAAAAUCAGCUUAAUCUUCCCACUGAGGGGGCUGAGCCACGUUUUCUGUGGAUAAGAGUUGCUCAGGUAUGAACCUCCUGGGGCGUGUGUGGGCGACAGACACAGCCGCCGUCAAGCGAUUCCCAUAAGAAGUCAAAGCAAACCUCUAUCCUGAUUAGAAGCUUCUGAGAACUGAAUUUUCCACACAUACACCUCUACCUGUCUGACACCGUCCCCACACCCCAGCGUCUAGAUCCGGAAUCUUCAAACAGGACAUAUUGGAGACACCAUCAGGCCCCCGCCUUCUUGUUGAUGUCAGGUGGGUGAGCCCAGCAUGGGGGCCGUCCCUAUGCGGGUGAGCUGGGGUUUGCGGGCCGUCCCCACAGAGGUAAGCCAGGGCAUGGGGGCCGUCCCCACGGAGGUGAGCCAGGGAGUGAGGGCCGUCCCCACGGAGGUGAGCCAGGGCACGGG